rnacentral:ncRNA from 1 species
GGGAGCCAGAUGAAUCGAGAGGUUCACGUCCGGUUCUGCGAGGGGCAGUGGGUGCAACUCCCACAGUCUACUCACCCUUAU